GGAGGUAUUAUGGCUGCCAUCUUUAGAAAUUACAAUUUGCCACAGGUUGUGUUCCCUAGAAGCAGAGGUUGAAAUAGGGGUUCUUUUGUGAGUUAAGGAAGAGGGAGAAGCUAAGCGAGGAUGUAGCUUCAGGUGAAGUCCAGCUUCAACCUGAUCUUGUAGGCAGCACUGGAUCUCACAUUGUCUGCAGCAUUUGUCCUUCCUUGAGGCAAAAAAGUGGGGCUUUUGUACACACAUAUCAGUCAACCCUUAGCUUAGGGAAGCCCCAGGGGAAGGGUUGUAACUCCUAGGUAUCUCGUAGACAGGCAACUCCUCUUGCUUAAAGGCAUUUCCCAGACAAGGCUUGCUCUGUGAGCCUUUAAUAGCAGUUAAUAAAAAGAUUGCCAGAGAUCUGAUUGGGACUGCAACAGCCUCAGCUACAUUAAGAUAUGGGGGCACAUUCAAGGCCUGUUUUAUAGAGACUAGCAGAGACCAUAUAAGAAUCACUAACAUGAGCUGCAUACGCUGGAGGCCCCUCUGCUGUCAUUAUUUUAUGUGCUGGAAAACGCUGCGAUGGGAAGACAGCCCAGUCAGAUGGGGAUGGCCUGGAAUAGGAGCCAGUUCUGAUAUAGGAGGCAUUGUCAUCCCAUUUUACAGACGAAGAGACGGAGUCUCAAGUUUCCAUAGCUGGUGUGCACUUUAGUUCCUCAAGGACAAUAAUGCCCCACCCUUGAGGUCUAUCUGAACUUUUUCUCCAGAGAAUGAAGAUACUGUCAUUACCUCUGCAAAGAAUGCAUCCUAGCACAGAUCAAAGAUCUUCCAAGUCCAGCCACACCAUUUUACAGUUCUGAACCUCGACUUAGGAAAGCAGUGGAUCUUUAUACAUUUGACACAUCCCUUCCCUCUAGGAUCUCUGUGGCUAUUGAAAAUGGACUGGAGAAGAUGAGUGGGAGUGAGAAGAGGAUAACAGAAUCAGAUAAAAACCUGUCAUGUUACUAAGAGCAGGAGAUGAGGCAGCCUGGACCAAGAUGGUGGCAGAGAGAAGAAAAUUGCUUGAGAGAAUUGAUUAAACUACUUGGUUAGCACAGAUAGAGCUGAAUCAAAAAUUAGGAUGGUAAGCUAAGUAAUUUUACACACAAAAAGGCAGAGUUGCAUUCAUAAUUAGUCUCUCCUUCAGACUGAAUAUUACAGACAAAAUAUAGCCAUUGGUGUUGCAAUC
ensembl:lncRNA LINC00690 long intergenic non-protein coding RNA 690